UUGAAGCAAUGCUGUGUUACAGGACUUUAUGAUGAUCUCUCACAGGACUGGUCAUGUCAGCCGUAAUUAUUCUUUCCAAUGUUUUUAUAUUUAUUUUAUUUUAUUUGAUACAGCUAUAAUAAUUAUAGCAUGUUAGCAAAGUUUGACUGGAACAUUUUUAAUCUAAAGUUUUAAAAAAAACACCACCUGUUAUUCUUAAAAGCAUACAAGUGUCAUAAAAGUGGUUUAAUUGAUAUAAACACCAAUUGACAUUAUCUCACUGUUUUGUGAAUGUUGUGUUAUAAAUUGUGAAUUGAUAGUUGAUUGGUUUGAAGCCAGGCCUUACACUGCACAGACUAAAACACAUUUGUGAGAGAAGUCAUUAGCUCUGGAGAAAGACUCUAGAGGAAGAAAACACAUUUACUGCAACAAAAGAUGAAUUCUAGAGUCUCUGAGAAGUACACAUGCUAAUGGAGUCUCCUGGGCAAGUCCUUUGCCUCUGUAACUUUUUCUAAAUUCUUGCAUAAUGAAAUUGUUUAUUGCAGUAUUUUAACAAUUUUACUUUGUACAGAUGAUCUCAUCAACCAAAUGAGGGGUUUUGACCAAGUGAUGCUCUUGAAAGGAGUGAAAGAAGAGGAUGUGGUAAAUUGUCUUCAGAGAAAAAGCUUCUCAAAAGAUCUUAAAACAGCUUGAAGAAUGGUCUGGGAUCUUAGGACUGGGAGAUCUCACUUGCACCCAGUUAACCUCCAUAGAGAACAUUUAUCAGAAGCGCUGUCUGGGUAGGGCAAGAAACAUAAUCAAGGAUGCCUCUCACCCUAACCAUGGACCUUUCACCCUCCUUCCAUCCGGCAGGCGUUACAGGAGCCUACGCUCUCGAACUAGUAGACUCAGGAAGAGCUUCUUCCCCGAGGCUGUGACACUCCUGAACACCGCACCACCAAUCUAACCUGCACCUGCUCUUUUACUGCACUGGUCACAGUACUUUACAUACAUGUAUUGCACUACUCAUAUUUUGCACAGACUGCACAUGGUUAAAUCCA
rnacentral:lncRNA from 1 species